rnacentral:rRNA from 1 species
CGUGAAGCUGGAUUCGCUAGUAAUCGCGCAUCAGCCAUGGCGCGGUGAAUACGUUCCCGGGCCUUGUACACACCGCCCGUCAAGCCAUGGGAGCCGGGAGUGCCUGAAGUGCGUAACCGCGAGGAGCGCCCUAGGGUAAAACUGGUGACUGGGGCUAAGUCGUAACAAGGUAAC